UGGGGAAUAUUGCACAAUGGGCGAAAGCCUGAUGAAGCAACGCCGCGUGAGCGAUGAAGGCCUUUGGGUCGUAAAGCUCUGUCCUUGGGGAAGAAAAAAAUGACGGUACCCUUGGAGGAAGCCCCGGCUAACUACGUGCCAGCAGCCGCGGUAAUACGUAGGGGGCAAGCGUUAUCCGGAAUUAUUGGGCGUAAAGAGUGCGUAGGUGGUUUUGUAAGCGCGGGGUGAAAGGCUAUGGCUCAACCAUAGUAAGCCUUGCGAACUGUAAGACUUGAGUGCAGGAGAGGAAAGCGGAAUUCCUAGUGUAGCGGUGAAAUGCGUAGAUAUUAGGAGGAACACCAGUGGCGAAGGCGGCUUUCUGGACUGUAACUGACACUGAGGCACGAAAGCGUGGGGAGCAAACAGG
rnacentral:rRNA from 1 species